UACAUGGGGUGCAAACGUUGCUCGGAAUCAUUGGGCGUAAAGCGCGCGUAGGCGGUUAUUUAAGUUGGAUGUGAAAGCCCUCGGCUUAACUGAGGAAGUGCAUCCAAAACUGAAUAGCUAGAGUACGAAAGAGGGUCGCGGAAUUCCCGGUGUAGAGGUGAAAUUCGUAGAUAUCGGGAGGAACACCGGUGGCGAAGGCGGCGACCUGGGUCGAGACUGACGCUGAGGCGCGAAAGCGUGGGGAGCGAACAGG
rnacentral:rRNA from 1 species